GAUGAACGCUGGCGGCGUGCUUAACACAUGCAAGUCGAACGGAAAGGCCCAAGCUUGCUUGGGUACUCGAGUGGCGAGCGGGUGAGUAACACGUGGGUGAUCUGCCCUGCACUUCGGGAUAAGCCUGGGAAACUGGGUCUAAUACCGGAUAGGACCACAUUUUGGAUGGUGUGGUGGAAAGUUUUUCGGUGUGGGAUGAGCUCGCGGCCUAUCAGCUUGUUGGUGGGGUAAUGGCCUACCAAGGCGUCGACGGGUAGCCGGCCUGAGAGGGUGUACGGCCACAUUGGGACUGAGAUACGGCCCAGACUCCUACGGGAGGCAGCAGUGGGGAAGAUUGCACAAUGGGCGCAAGCCUGAUGCAGCGACGCCGCGUGGGGGAGGACGGCCUUCGGGUUGUAAACGCCUUUCGCUAGGGACGAAGCGUUAUGUGACGGUACCUGGAGAAGAAGCACCGGCUAACUACGUG
rnacentral:rRNA from 1 species